rnacentral:rRNA from 1 species
UACGGAGGGUGCAAACGUUGCUCGGAAUCAUUGGGCGUAAAGCGCACGUAGGCGGUCCAGCAAGUCGGGUGUGAAAGCCCUCGGCUUAACCCGAGGAAGUGCAUUCGAAACUACAGGACUUGAAUACUGGAGAGGAUCGGCGGAAUUCCCGGUGUAGAGGUGAAAUUCGUAGAUAUCGGGAGGAACACCUAUGGCGAAAGCACCUGCCUGGGCCUUACUGACGCUAGACUCGAAAGCUGGGGAGCAACAGG